AGUUCACGUCCUGCUGCCUGCGGCUCAAGACGUGGGACUCUCAGCUCCGUCUCCAGCUCUGUGUCUGCCUGCAGGCCUCCAUGCUUCUGACCAUGAUGAUAUGGACUAAACCUCUGAACCAUCAGAGAGGGCACUGGAUCCCCUGGAACUGGAAUUAUAGGUGGCCGUGAGCUUUCAUGUGGGUCCUGGGAAUCAAACCCAGUUCCCUUCAAAGAGAAGCCAGUGCUCUUAGCCACCGAGCCGCCUCUACCUGGAUGCACAAUAUUUUAACAAAUUAAAACACGACUCGAGCAAAUAUCAGACAGGUUCUUGCUAUGUGGCCAAGACCGGCCUCCAUCUGCCUCCAAAGUGCUGGAACUACAGGUAUGAAUCACCACGCUAGCUCACAUGGAUUCUUGAAAGAGACCAAAGCACACACAGCUCACCUGCCAUCUUAGGACAAGGCUCCCGUGCUCUCUCAUUAGGAUGCUUGCCUGUGCGGGAAGCUCCCACCAAGGUGAUCUAAGCAUUUGAACUAUGUGCUCAGAUGCAAGCUUGGCUAACUUGCCACUGCCCUUCAUGACUCCAGAAGCACACAGAAGGGGACAGCUGUCACUAUCAGUGGCCCAGUGUGAGAUCUCCUCCCCAUGCUGUGGAACCAUCCGCUGUGUGAGUCAUAGGGAAAGAUGGGCUCUUGACUGUGCUUGCCAGAGCAGCUGAUAGCACUAGUGACCUGGUCCCCAGUGUCUUGACUCCAGUGCCAGAGGUGAUGAGGACUCGGGGGAGCUAGCCCCAGAGUCCAGGGCAUUGAGUUCUCCCUGUGGCAGGAUUCCGCAUGGCCCCGGUUCAUCACGUUUCUUGACUCCUCUCAUCCCUCUCUGGUUCUCCAGGCAAUUCCUUGAACUCUCAGCUAUGUGGAAGUCUAGCCCACUCUGCUUCUGGCAAAGCAGAAAAAGGUAGGUUUCUGCUGCUGACCUCAAGGGGGCAGUCAAGUGCACAUACCCUGACAGCUCAUCCAACGUCCUGCCAGUUUAUGCUGACACCGAGAUGACAAGUGAGAAUUCAUACCAGCCUCUGAUGCAGAGGAAGGGAGUUUGGGGUGAUGGCCCCAUAACUAACAAUUCUCUAAUCUCUUAGUCUACAUUGGGGGAGUCUCCAGCCUUCUUUGUUGGCUAGACUCCCUAAAACUAUGGAGGUGAUUGGGGCUGGAGAGAGAGCUUAGCGAUGAAGAGCAAGUACUGCCCCUGCAGAAGACCCAAGUUUGGAUCCUAGCAUCUACGCUGUACAGCUCAAAACUGCCUGUAAAUCCAGCCCCGGGGGAUCCAGUGCCUCUGUUUUCCAUGUGGAUGUGGAAUACACACAUACACACUUAACUAAAAAUAAAAUAAAUCUUCAAAAACUA